rnacentral:snoRNA from 1 species
CUGCAGCCAAUUAAGCCGACCGGUUUCCUCUCCUCGUGGGGCCCAGUGUGCAGUGGCUGCAAGCAGCAGCCUCCUUGGUUGUGUACGUUACCUGUUGCUUGUACAGGUUGCCCUAAGGGACCUUGGAGACAGUU